rnacentral:rRNA from 1 species
AUUGAACGCUGGCGGCAUGCUUUACACAUGCAAGUCGAACGGUAACAGGUUAAGCUGACGAGUGGCGAACGGGUGAGUAAUGUAUCGGAACGUGCCCAGUCGUGGGGGAUAACGUAGCGAAAGCUACGCUAAUACCGCAUACGAUCUAUGGAUGAAAGCGGGGGACCGUAAGGCCUCGCGCGAUUGGAGCGGCCGAUAUCAGAUUAGGUAGUUGGUGGGGUAAAGGCCCACCAAGCCAACGAUCUGUAGCUGGUCUGAGAGGACGACCAGCCAACCUGGGGAUUGGAACGCGCCCAGGCCUCUUGGGGAGGCAGGAAUGGGGAAUUUUGGACAAUGGGGGCAACCCUGAUCCAGCAAUGCCGCGUGCAGGAAGAAGGCCUUCGGGUUGUAAACUGCUUUUGUACGGAACGAAAAGGCUCUGGUUAAUACCUGGGGCUCAUGACGGUACCGUAAGAAUAAGCACCGGCUAACUACGUGCCAGCCGCCGCCGUAA